rnacentral:rRNA from 1 species
UAGGGAAUCUUCCGCAAUGGGCGAAAGCCUGACGGAGCAACGCCGCGUGAGUGAAGAAGGAUUUCGGUUCGUAAAGCUCUGUUGUUAGGGAAGAAUGAUUGUGUAGUAACUAUACACAGUAGAGACGGUACCUAACCCAAAAAGCCACGGCUAACUACGUGCCAGCAGCCGCGGUAAUACGUAGGUGGCAAGCGCGUUGUCCGGAAUUAUUGGGCGUAAAGCGCGCGCAGGUGGUUUAAUAAGUCUGAUGUGAAAGCCCACGGCUCAACCGUGGAGGGUCAUUGGAAACUGUUAAACUUGAGUGCAGGAGAGAAAAGUGGAAUUCCUAGUGUAGCGGUGAAAUGCGUAGAGAUUAGGAGGAACACCAGUGGCGAAGGCGGCUUUUUGGCCUGUAACUGACACUGAGGCGCGAAAGCGUGGGGAGCAAACAGGAUUAGAUACCCUGGUAGUCCACGCCGUAAACGAUGAGUGCUAAGUGUUGGUCUCAUAAGAGAUCAGUGCUGCAGCUAACGCAUUAAGCACUCCGCCUGGGGAGUACGACCGCAAGGUUG